GUGCUCAGUGAAAGAACUUCUGUUUUGCAAACAGAAGGUUCUGGGUUCAAUCCCUGGCAUCUCCA